rnacentral:rRNA from 1 species
GACAAACCAGAUCAAAUUAAGAUAAAUACAGUGAAAAAGGAGGUUAUAGAACAAUAGUUAACUAGCUUAAUUUAUUUCUUAAAAGAUUACGAUUCUUAUAGAGGUGGAAUUUGUAAAAGAUGUAUAAUCUAUUACUUUUUUUUUCUUGAGGCCUCGAAACCUUAAUAGAAGACCGGGAUUAGAUACCCCGCUAUUUAAGGCAUAAAUCUUAAUUUAAAAUACUUUACUAGAGUAUUACGGGCCCUAAAUUUUAAUUUACAGUAUAAGCCUAAAACUCAAAAAACUUGGCGGUGCCUUAUAUCCUUUCAGGGGAACCUGUCCUAUAAUCGAUAGUCCACGAUUUACCUUUCCUUUAUUUGAUUAAAUUUCAGUCUGUAUACCGUCGUCGCCAGAUUACCUCUUAGAGUUAAAAAGUUAUCAAUCGGAGUAGUAUUGAAAAUAUUGUAAUGUCAAUUUAAUGUUAUCAAUUUUAUCUAAACGUCAGAUCAAGGUGCAGCCAAUGUAAAGGAAGAGAUGGGUUACAAUAAAUAAUUUUUAUACGAAUAUCUUUUUGAAAAUAUAGGUUUAAAGGAGGACUUGAAAGUAAUUAGGGAAAUAGAAAGUCCCGGUGAAUGCGGCCCUAAGGCGUGC